AACGAACGCUGGCGGCAGGCUUAACACAUGCAAGUCGAACGCACCCUUCGGGGUGAGUGGCAGACGGGUGAGUAACGCGUGGGAACGUGCCCUUCAGUUCGGGAUAACCCAGGGAAACGUGGGCUAAUACCGGAUACGUGCGAGAGCAGAAAGAUUUAUCGCUGGAAGGAUCGGGCCGCGUCGGAUUAGCUAUGUGGUGGGGUAAUGGCCCAACAAGGCGACGAUCAGUAGCUGGUCUGAGAGGAUGAUCAGCCACAUUGGGACUGAGACACGGCCCAAACUCCUACGGGGGGCAGCAGUGUGUAAUAUUGGACAAUGGGGGCAAGCCGGGUCCAGCCGUGCGGCGUGGGUGAUGAUGGCCGUAGGGUUGUAAAGCUCUUUCGUCCGGGACGAUAAUGACGGUACCGGAAGAAGAAGCCCCGGCUAACUUCGUGCCAGCCGCCGCGGUAA
rnacentral:rRNA from 1 species